rnacentral:snRNA from 1 species
GAAUGUGAGGGGGAUCUGGCUGUAACAUUCAUCACUCUAUUGAUUUCCAGGGUUGACUUGACUGAUCUGGAUGGCUAUUUGGGUGUCCCGUUCCACCCUCAACUUCUCAUGUGCGUCCUUCCUCAAGCUGCACUCUUGGUCAAAGAAGACAACCACCCCUGAUAAAGGAAGACCAUUUCUUGAUCAAGGGUAUAUGUGUAGCUGUGCCCCACUGCUAGAACCUCCAAACAAGCCCUCAGAGUGUUCAGAGAUCCAGGCACUCAACCCUUACAACCAACUGAGAAGGAAACGUGGCUACUGUUC